rnacentral:lncRNA from 1 species
CCUACUGACAAUUUUAAACUACAUAUACAUACCACGUUGUCUAUAACAAAAUUAAAACUAAAGAAUAUUAAAGUGAAUAUUCGAUAAACUAUAGGUCAGAUAUCUGAAAUUUUUUGUAUAUGGUUUAAUAAAAAAUUAACGGAAUGACUGCUGAAAAGAGAAAAAUAAAACUACAGAAUACUAAAUUGAUAUAUUUUAAACUAUAAAAUAUUAAAGUGAGAAAAUGUGAAUUCACAUAGAUGGUGCUUGAAGUUUAUUAAUCUUUCUUAUUAUGGUAU